rnacentral:tRNA from 1 species
GCCGGAGUAGCUCAGGGGUAGAGCGGCUGUUUUGUAAACAGCGGGUCGCGGGUUCGAAUCCUGUCUCCGGCUCCA